rnacentral:rRNA from 1 species
UAGGGAAUCUUCCGCAAUGGGCGAAAGCCUGACGGAGCAACGCCGCGUGAGUGAUGAAGGUCUUCGGAUCGUAAAACUCUGUUAUUAGGGAAGAACAAAUGUGUAAGAAACUAUGCACGUCUUGACGGUACCUAAUCAGAAAGCCACGGCUAACUACGUGCCAGCAGCCGCGGUAAUACGUAGGUGGCAAGCGUUAUCCGGAAUUAUUGGGCGUAAAGCGCGCGUAGGCGGUUUUUUAAGUCUGAUGUGAAAGCCCACGGCUCAACCGUGGAGAGUCAUUGGAAACUGGAAAACUUGAGUGCAGAAGAGGAAAGUGGAAUUCCAUGUGUAGCGGUGAAAUGCGCAGAGAUAUGGAGGAACACCAGUGGCGAAGGCGACUUUCUGGUCUGUAACUGACGCUGAUGUGCGAAAGCGUGGGGAUCAAACAGG